UACGUAGGGUGCGAGCGUUAAUCGGAAUUACUGGGCGUAAAGCGUGCGCAGGCGGUGAUGUAAGACAGAUGUGAAAUCCCCGGGCUCAACCUGGGAACUGCAUUUGUGACUGCAUCGCUGGAGUGCGGCAGAGGGGGAUGGAAUUCCGCGUGUAGCAGUGAAAUGCGUAGAUAUGCGGAGGAACACCGAUGGCGAAGGCGGCUCACUGGCUCGUAACUGACGCUCAUGCACGACAGCGUGGGGAUCAAACAGG
rnacentral:rRNA from 1 species